GCUGAUCAGCUAGCCCAACACCCCCUAGGUCCCUCCAACAACACACCCACCCUAACAAAACCUUGAAACCCCCAAACAAACCAUUUUUCCAUCAUAGUAUGGGAGACAGAAAAGAAAAUUUGAGCGACAGAGAAAGUACCGCAAGGGAAAGCUGAAAGAGAAAUGAAACAACCCAUUUAAGCCUAGAAAAACAGAGAUUUAACCUCGUACCUUUUGCAUCAUGAUUUAGCCAGCACCCUCAAGCAAAGAGUUCUUUAGUUUGAGCCCCCGAAACUAGACGAGCUACUCCGAGACAGCCUGUUUAGGGCCAACCCGUCUCUGUGGCAAAAGAGUGGGACGAGCUCCGAGUAGAGGUGAUAAACCUACCGAGCCUAGUCAUAGCUGGUUGCUUAGGAAAUGAAUAGAAGUUCAGCCUCCCGAAUUCUCAAACCCCUAAAGUUACACUAAUUUUGACUACAGAAGUCAGGAGAGUUAGUCAAAGGAGGUACAGCUCCUUUGAAUCAGGACACAACCUUUACAGGUGGCUAAAGAUCAUAAUAUAUAAGGUAACCUGUUCUAGUGGGCCUAAAAGCAGCCAUCUAGGAAGAAAGCGUUAAAGCUCAGACAGCCUCCAAACCCUUUAUUUUGUUAAAGAAUCUUACCCCCUGACAACUACUAAGCCAUCCCAUGCCCCCAUGGGAGCGCCUAUGCUAAAAUGAGUAACAAGAGGGAAAACCCUCUCCCAGCACACAUGUAAGUCGGACCGGACCCCACCACCGACAAAUAACGAACCCAAGCCAAGAGGGAACUUCGAGCUUAACCAACAACGAGAAAACUCCGAACAUUUAAUCGUUAACCCCACACAGGUGUGCCCUAAGGAAAGACCUAAAGGAAGAGAAGGAACUCGGCAAACAUGAGCCUCGCCUGUUUACCAAAAACAUCGCCUCUUGACCACCAAAACAUAAGAGGUCCCGCCUGCCCUGUGACUAUGGGUUUAACGGCCGCGGUAUUUUGACCGUGCAAAGGUAGCGCAAUCACUUGUCUUUUAAAUGGAGACCUGUAUGAAUGGCACGACGAGGGCCCAACUGUCUCCUCUCCCCAGUCAGUGAAAUUGAUCUUCCCGUGCAGAAGCGGGAUUACCCCCAUAAGACGAGAAGACCCCAUGGAGCUUUAGACACUAGGCAGCCCACAUUAAACAAACCUGUACAACCAGGGAGAAUUUAGUGGCCCCUCCCCUACUUGUCUUUGGUUGGGGCGACCACGGAGGAAAAAAUAGCCUCCCUGAGGACUGGGGGUACUACCCCUACAGCCAAGAACCACUGUUCUAAGCAACAGAACAUCUGACCACCACGAUCCGGCGCACGCCGAUCAACGGACCGAGUUACCCUGGGGAUAACAGCGCAAUCCUCUCCCAGAGUCCCUAUCGACGAGGGGGUUUACGACCUCGAUGUUGGAUCAGGACAUCCUAAUGGUGCAGCCGCUAUUAAGGGUUCGUUUGUUCAACGAUUAAAGUCCUACGUGAUCUGAGUUCAGACCGGAGUAAUCCAGGUCAGUUUCUAUCUAUGAACUGAUCUUUCCUAGUACGAAAGGACCGGAAAGAAGAGGCCCAUGCCCAAGGCACGCCUCUCCCCCACCUAGUGAAGACAACUAAAGUAGAAAAGGGGCAUACCCAGGCAUGCCUGAAAGAACGGCGU
rnacentral:rRNA from 1 species